ensembl:snRNA U4 U4 spliceosomal RNA
AGCUUUGCGCAGUGGCAGUAUUGUAGCCAAUGAGGUUUAUCCGAGGCGUGAUUAUUGCUAAUAGAAAUACAUUUACAGAGUCCUGGACAUUUAUAAAAGUAAAAACUACUA